UUUCAAUAGCUUGCUAAUGAAAUUCUUAGUGGCGGACGGGUUAGUAACACGUGAGAAUCCUACCCUUGAGUGGGGAAUAGCCUUUCGAAAGGAAGAUUAAUGCCCCAUAGUCUCUACGGAGUAAAGAUGCCUUCGGGUGUCGCUUAAGGAUGGGCUCGCGGCCUAUCAGCUAGUUGGUGAGGUAAGAGCUCACCAAGGCAACGACGGGUAGCUGGUCUGAGAGGACGAUCAGCAACACUGGAACUGAGACACGGUCCAGACACCUACGGGUGGCAGCAGUCGAGAAUCAUUCACAAUGGACGAAAGUCUGAUGGUGCAACGCCGCGUGGAGGAUGACGGCCCUAGGGUUGUAAACUCCUGUCAUCAGGGAGUAAGACUUAUUCGUUAAUAGCGUGUAAGUUUGAUAGUACCUGAAGAGGAAGGGACGGCUAACUUCGUGCC
rnacentral:rRNA from 1 species